GAUAAACGCUGGCGGCGUGCAUGAGACAUGCAAGUCGAACGGACGAUCGAGGCUUGCUUCGAUCGUUAGUGGCGGACGGCUGAGUAACGCGUAGGUGACCUGCCCCGAAGUGGGGAAUAACUGCCCGAAAGGGUGGCUAAUACCGCAUGUGGUGGUGUGUUCAUUCACACCAGUAAAGCCGCAAGGCGCUUCGGGAGGGGCCUGCGUCCGAUUAGCUCGUUGGUGGGGUAACGGCUCACCAAGGCGACGAUCGGUAGGUGGUCUGAGAGGACGAUCACCCAGACUGGGACUGAGACACGGCCCAGACUCCUACGGGAGGCAGCAGUCGGGAAUUUUGCGCAAUGGACGAAAGUCUGACGCAGCAACGCCGCGUGAGGGAUGAAGGCCUUCGGGUUGUAAACCUCUUUUAUCAGGGAAGAUUAUGACGGUACCUGAUGAAUAAGUCACGGCUAACUACGUG
rnacentral:rRNA from 1 species